ACAGUGGACGCGAGCAUCUAGUAUCUGUGAUCUUUAAGUUUUUUUAAGGGCACACGGUGGAUGCCUUGGCACCAGGAACCGAUGAAGGACGUUGUAAUCUGCGAUAUGCCUCGGGGAGUCGAUAAACAGGCUGUGAUCCGGGGAUUUCCGAAUGGGGAAACCCGACCAGAAUCAUGUCUGGUCACCUGCACCUGAACACAUAGGGUGUUGGGGAGGGAACGUGGGGAAGUGAAACAUCUCAGUACCCACAGGAAGAGAAAACAAGAGUGAUUCCGUGAGUAGUGGCGAGCGAAAGCGGAUGAGGCUAAACCAUGAUCGUGUGAGACCUGUCAGGGGUUGCGGUUGUGGGGUUGUGGGACAGUGCUGACCUUGUCUGACAGCAGGGUGCGCAGUAAGAAACCAGUUGUGUAGUCGAACAGUUUUGAAUGGCUGGGCGUAGAGGGUGCGACUCCCGUAGACGAAACAUAGCUGGCUGUGUUGUGCUGUUUCCCAAGUAGCACGGGGCCCGUGAAAUCUCGUGUGAAUCUGGCAGGACCACCUGCUAAGCCUAAAUAUUCCCUGGUGACCGAUAGCGGACUAGUACCGUGAGGGAAAGGUGAAAAGAACCCCGGGAGGGGAGUGAAAUAGAUCCUGAAACCGUGUGCUUACAAUCCGUCGGAGCCUCUGUGUGGGGUGACGGCGUGCCUUUUGAAGAAUGAGCCUGCGAGUUAGUGCUCAGUGGCGAGGUUAACCCGUGUGGGGUAGCCGUAGCGAAAGCGAGUCCGAACAGGGCGUUUGAGUCGCUGGGUCUAGACCCGAAGCGGAGUGAUCUACCCAUGGCCAGGUUGAAGCGCCGGUAAGACGGCGUGGAGGACCGAACCCACUUAGGUUGAAAACUGAGGGGAUGAGCUGUGGGUAGGGGUGAAAGGCCAAUCAAACUCCGUGAUAGCUGGUUCUCCCCGAAAUGCAUUUAGGUGCAGCGUCGCGUGUUUCUUGCCGGAGGUAGAGCUACUGGAUGGCUGAUGGGCCCCACCGGGUUACUGACGUCAACCAAACUCCGAAUGCCGGUAAGUGAGAGCGUGGCAGUGAGACUGCGGGGGGAUAAGCUUCGUAGUCGAGAGGGAAACAGCCCAGAUCAUCAGCUAAGGUCCCUAAGCGUGUGCUAAGUGGGAAAGGAUGUGGAGUUGCUGUGACAACCAGGAGGUUGGCUUAGAAGCAGCCACCCUUUAAAGAGUGCGUAAUAGCUCACUGGUCAAGUGAUUCCGCGCCGACAAUGUAGCGGGGCUCAAGCACAUCACCGAAGCUGUGGCAAUGACACACAUACCCUUAACGGGGGUGUUGUUGGGUAGGGGAGCGUCGUGUGGCGAGUGAAGCGGCCGAGUGAUCGAGUCGUGGAUGCUACACGAGUGAGAAUGCAGGCAUGAGUAGCGAAUGACGGGUGAGAAACCCGUCCGCCGAAUAACCAAGGGUUCCAGGGUCAAGCUAAUCUGCCCUGGGUAAGUCGGGACCUAAGGCGAGGCCGACAGGCGUAGUCGAUGGACAUCCGGUUGAUAUUCCGGAACCGGCGAAGAACCGCCCAUACUGAACCAUGGGAUGCUAACCACCCGAACCACACCAUUGAGGGACUUCGGUCCUCGCGUGUGGGGGAGCGUGGGACCCGAUCGUGUAGUAGGUAAGCGAUGGAGUGACGCAGGAAGGUAGCCUCCGCGGGGCGAUGGUUGUCCCCGUCCAAGCAUGUAGGCCGAACGUCUAGGCAAAUCCGGACGUCGUAUUGGCUGAGAUGUGAUGGUGACCACGUAUGUGGGAAGUAGGGUGAUCCUAUGCUGUCGAGAAAAACUUCUAGCGAGGUUCGAGCCGCCCGUACCCCAAACCGACUCAGGUGGUUAGGUAGAGAAUACUAAGGCGAUCGAGUGAAUCGUGGUUAAGGAAUUCGGCAAAAUGCCCCCGUAACUUCGGGAGAAGGGGGGCCCAAGCCUUGAAGCACUUGCGUGCUAGGGGUGAGGGUCGCAGAGACCAGGGAGAAGCGACUGUUUACUAAAAACACAGGUCCGUGCGAAGAAGUAAUUCGAUGUAUACGGACUGACGCCUGCCCGGUGCUGGAAGGUUAAGAGGACUGGUUAGUCACCUUGUGUGGCGAAGCUGAGAAUUUAAGCCCCAGUAAACGGCGGUGGUAACUAUAACCAUCCUAAGGUAGCGAAAUUCCUUGUCGGGUAAGUUCCGACCUGCACGAAUGGCGUAACGACUUCUCCACUGUCUCAACCACGAACUCGGCGAAAUUGCAGUACGAGUAAAGAUGCUCGUUACGCGCAGCAGGACGGAAAGACCCCGGGACCUUUACUACAGUUUGGUAUUGGUGUUCGGUACGGCUUGUGUAGGAUAGGUGGGAGACUGUGAAGCAUUGGCGCCAGCUGGUGUGGAGUCAUUGUUGAAAUACCACUCUGGUCGUAUUGAGCUCCUAACUUCGGUCCGUGAUCCGGAUCAGGGACAGUGCCUGAUGGGUAGUUUAACUGGGGCGGUUGCCUCCCAAAGGGUAACGGAGGCGCCCAAAGGUUCCCUCAGCCUGGUUGGCAAUCAGGUUUUUGAGUGUAAGUGCACAAGGGAGCUUGACUGUGAGACAGACAUGUCGAGCAGGCACGAAAAGUGGGGGACUAGUGACCCGACGGUGGCUUGUGGAAGCGCCGUCGCUCAACGGAUAAAAAAAGGUACCCCGGGGAUAACAGGCUGAUCUUGCCCAAGAGCUCAUAUCGACGGCAUGGUUUGGCACCUCGAUGUCGGCUCGUCGCAUCCUGGGGCUGGAGUAGGUCCCAAGGGUUGGGCUGUUCGCCCAUUAAAGCGGUACGCGAGCUGGGUUUAGAACGUCGUGAGACAGUUCGGUCCCUAUCCGCUGUGCGCGUAGGAAACUUGAGAAGACCUGUCCCUAGUACGAGAGGACCGGGAUGGACGAACCUCUGGUGUGUCAGUUGUUCUGCCAAGGGCACGGCUGAUUGGCUACGUUCGGAAGCGAUAACCGCUGAAAGCAUCUAAGCGGGAAGCACGCUUCAAGAUAAGGUUUCCAUAACACUACGGUGUUGAGAGGUUCCCCAGAGACGAUGGGGUUGAUAGGCCGGAUGUGGAAGCUCAGUAAUGAGUGAAGCUGACCGGUACUAAUAAACCGACAACUUAAAACAUCACCAA
rnacentral:rRNA from 1 species